rnacentral:rRNA from 1 species
GAUGAACGCUGGCGGCGUGCCUAAUACAUGCAAGUCGAACGAGGUGCUUUUGUAGCAAUACGAGAGUAUCCUAGUGGCGAACGGGUGGGUAACGCGUGGAUGACCUGCCCCAAAGUGUGGGAUAACAGUCCGAAAGGAUUGCUAAUACCUCAUGUGGUUAUCGGUUUUAGGAAGCGAUAACUAAAGCAGCAAUGCGCUUUGGGAGGGAUCUGCGUCCCAUCAGCUAGUUGGUGAGGUAACGGCUCACCAAGGCGACGACGGGUAGGGGACCUGAGAGGGUGGCCCCCCANAAUGGAACUGAAACACGGUCCAUACACCUACGGGUGGCAGCAGUAGGGAAUAUUGGACAAUGGGCGCAAGCCUGAUCCAGCCAUCCCGCGUGCAGGAUGACAGCCCUACGGGUUGUAAACUGCUUUUGUUAGGGAAGAAACCCCCUGAUUUAUCGGGGGCUGACGGUACCUUUCGAAUAAGCACCGGCUAACUCCGUGCCAGCAGCCGCGGU